GGAGGAGACCAGCUUCACGAUCGGAGAGAUAUGUUUACCGAUUUGUUGUACAAAACAAAACAAGUUUGCUGACAAGCAUUAACUGUCUAAACUACCUUCGCAAAAGUUUUACCUCAGAUGACCGUUGUUUUUACGUAAGAGUGCGAGAUCAACACAAUUAACGUUAAGCGAGAAGAACAGCAUCAUGAAGAAAACUGUUUUUUUUUUUCCUGGGAGAUACAAGGUGUCUUUCAGGAAAGGCCCAUCAGGCCAUUUACGCCGGGACCCAUCAGAAGAGGCAAAAAGAAUUAAAGACAACCCUUCACUGCAGAACAAGUCAACACCUCAAAGAGAAGAUCUGGUCAGGAUGAAUGCCCGUUCUGUUGUCUUACAGAGAGGAGGGGAUGUCUCUGACAAGCAAGAGGUGUUGGGAGAAUAUAUUCUACAGUUUGGCAAAUACAAGGGCCAGUCUUUCAGGUGGUUACUAGAGAAUGAUGUCGGCUAUGCUUUGUACCUGUCCAAUAAGGUUGAGGAAGAAGAACAGGCUGGGUAGUUCAACCCAGAGGGUCCUUGCAAAGAUAGUCUAAUUUCCUUUAUUGAAUACUCAAGAAGCUUUAAGGAAAUUGAUGACCUUAAACGGUAUCUGUCUCAAAGGCCAGAUCCAUUGCCAGUUUUGAUGGAGGAAGACAAUACUGUUGGAUUUGGAACAAGAGCUCAAGACACUUGGAGACAAAUUUGGGAUACCAGGGCAGACGGAUAUGCUUUCUUUAUAAUAAAGCAGAAGUGUGUUCCAGGCAGCAAAAUGUACAACUUGCAGCAGUAUCUUUUAAAACAGCAGCAACAACAGCUGACGAUAAACACUCCUCCGGUGCCCCCACCAUCAGCUUCCACUGCAAGACCACUUGUUUCUUCCAGUACUGCUUCUGAUCAGCCUGUGAUGGAGGAGGAUGAAGAACUGGAGAGGAUAAUGCUGAGUCUGUCUCCAACAAAGUAUCUCACACAGCUG